rnacentral:lncRNA from 1 species
UAUAUGCUAUGAAUACAUCAUGAAAGGUGUAUAUGACAAUAUAUAUGUGGGUAUAUAUUAAAAUAAUAUACCAUGAGCAUAUUGUAAAAUAUUAUUUUAAUAAAGUGUACCGGUGUGAUAAAAUGUACAUGAAUUAUAUGUAUGUUGCAUAACAUCUACUACCUUGAAAUGUUAAAUCAUAUUGUGACAUUAAGUUAUAAUGUAUGAUUGAUAUGUGUAUACAAUAUAGCAUAAGAAUAAGAGUAGUGUAUAAGUAUAUGAUCUAAUGUUGCAAGAAUGCUGAGUAUUUGGAAAUUGUCCCAAAAUCCAAUUGCCUCAUUUCUCAGUCACGUGUGUAGCAAAAAGGCUAAGGCCUAUUCCUCUCUUCUUCUUCCAAGCUUCCUAGCUGAUGAUUACGGGGGAGUGGUGUUCAUGAUGAAUCAACAACCAAUUACCAACUCCUUGUUAACCUUCAUGCAAUUCUUCCAUCCUUUGGUUUGAUUUCUUGGACAAUGGCUUGGCAUGGUCAAUGAAUUUCCUAUAAAAUGAACACUUCCCUUCAUUCUUUGUGUUGCUUGAGUUGUCUGAUAAAUUGCUAAGUAGGAGAUUGAGAGCAUUCUAAGACAUUGGGAGUUCAUUAGGAGCAAGCUAAUUCAUAAUUGCAGAGGUAUCAAAUUCUUCCAUUUUCAGUUUCUGUCAAAUGAAUUCUUGAGUUCUUGAAUUUCAAUUUCUUAAUUAUGUGGAAUUAGACGAUGAUGAGGUUGGAUAAUGUUUAAAUAGUUGUUAUAUAACCAUAUAAGCAUGUUGCAAUUGAUACAUGGCUGGUUAGAAUCGAAAUGGUGAAUAAUUUCUGUGUUUGGGCUAGUUUUAUGCCGACGCAGACUGUUCCUGGCUCGAACCAGACACGGCACAGCUACAUCGGAUUAACACUGAGGCGCAGCGCAGUUGUGCCGGCCCUUGAGUUCAGUUUUGAGCUUCUAUUUUAUAGUCUAUUAUAAUAUUAUGACAUAUAAUAGUAUGCAAUCAUGUGUAAGGGGUAUACAUAGAUAUAUUAACCUAAUGUGAGAAUGUUUAGACUAGAUUAGCAUGAAUAACGAAAGUGUGGAGUUUAAAAUGACUUUAUGACUUUAGAAACAAACUUGAUGUGUAUAAAUAACAUGUUUAUAUACUGACCUUACGAGCAUGUAAAUAUGGCUUCGAAAUGCAUGAAUAAACCAUUUGCUUGUGUUUAUUUGAUUAGUAAGGAAGCAUGAACAAACUACUAGUAAGCUAUGAAUGUCAAUAUUAUCAAAAUACCUUGAGGGUUAGAAUAUGAUAAUGGUGAUCGUGUUUGAUGAUACUCUUAGACUCACUCAUGUAGCAUAAAUGUAUAUACACCAUGCUUGUGUAUCAUAUUUCAAGAAAAGCAUGAACGAAGCAUAUUUACAACCAAAGCAAUGCUAAUUUCACAUAUGUGUUAUGAAUACUCGCAUGCAUGCCUAAUAUGAGUUUUAUAACUAUCUUGUAUGUUUAGAGAGCAAACAUGAUAGACUUUGUGGUUUCAUGACCUUGAAUGACCUUAAAUUGUUGAAAUGAUCAAUUUAGAAUUUUAUUAUGAAAGAAGAACCUAGAUUGACUUGAGAGGAACGAGAAGGCCUUUAACAUGACAAAAUAUAUUAUGUAUGAUUGUGUGUUCAAGCUGGACAAAAACCCCAAGGCAGCAGCUGAGUCUUGGCUUAGCCAGAGGACGGCGCAGCUGCUCCGGUCCUAGGCUUAGCCAUGGUGCAGCUGCGCCAGUCUGGAAUCUGAGAUAGUGAAAUCUGAUCUUUGGACAGCUAACUUGUGUUAAGCCUAUAUUACUAAAAGUAGUUUAAAACCUACUGAUACAUGUAUAUAAGUGAUGCUUAGAUGAUAUGAUGGUGUUUGCCUCGUAAUAGGAAGGUCCAUGCGUAAAAAGGACUUAAACUUGGGUAUUCUUAAUUUACUUAUGAAAUGACUAGGUAUUUGAUUCAUGAUGAAUUUAUAAUCUGACUUGUACCAUAUGUGCAUACUUGAAUCGUGUAAAACUUGAUUAAUGAAUGUGUUAGCUAAUGAGCAUCUUAUACUUAUAAUACGCUAUACUAGGAUUCGAAAGUGUUGAUUUAUUAACGUAGAUAAACUACGCUUAAGGCAAGUUCCUAAAUUCUUACUCUUUUACUUGAGCAAGUAUUCAAACCCUACUCUUAUUGUGUAAGUAUCUUUGCAUUACUUUAUGCAACGAAUACCGUAAGCAGAGUAUCUAAACCUUAUUUCUUUGAAUGCAAGUUAUUCUACUUAUUCGUUCAAUUGAACCAGUAUGUUUAGACUCUUGUGAAAACUAUUAUUCAUGUUGAAGUUGGUAUUUUUCUUGAAUAUUGUGAAGGAGUCGAUGCAAUUUGAUUCGGCUAGACUAUAUGCAUGUUUAUAAAAUUGUCCAAACCAAUUGAUUGGUGCGGAAAUCUUGAAAACUGAGUUGAACAACCCUUAUGGUAAGGGGAGUGUAUGUUGUUGGAAACCCCAACACAUAAAUGGGUAUUAUUGUGGUGUUAUGCAUAACUUAGAGUAUUGUAGACUGAUCAUCUAUAGUACUUGAUUCUUUUGGGUUAUCAGUUUAAUAUUGGUAACUCUAGUAGAUGUUCAUUAGUCCUUAGUGACUACUCAGUAUAAAUUGUUUAUCUAGUUGGAUACAUUGAUAGUCUUUGAAUUCAUAUAUAUCUGUCGAUUUAUAUUGAAUUAUCAUUCUUAUUCUAAGAAUUGUUUAUAUUCACUAUUCAUGAUAUUAUUCUGAAACUCUGAACUAUCUUAGAGAUGAUACUUCGAUAAUUCAAAAUUAUGAUAUUUUAUUCUUCACCAUUGUUGUAUAUUACUUGCUGGGCAAUUUGUGCUCAUCCUUGCUUAUUUAAAACCUUUCAGUUAAGGCGGAACAGGGAGGUGUCUCUGGAACAGACAAGGGAAAGGGCAAGGCUACCGACUAGCUUGUUCUUUUACGUUAAAAUUUCUGUGUUGUAUUAUGAUUAUGUUUAAACUUAAGUAGGAUUAUGUAAUAAGUCUGUAGUCGAUAUUAUUAUGUAAUCUAUUAUGUACCGUAGGUUGCGAGACUUGGGGGAAUAAUUAUAAUAAAUCAUUGUAUAUUAUUCUAAAUUUGAUCUUCCGUUGUGAAAGUGAUAUUUUAGUUAUUUUUUGUAUUCCAUGAGCAUGUGAUGAACCGAAUUCGAACGACCGAGUGGAGGUCCGAAUUUGGGGGCGUCUUAGGUUGGUAUCAAAGCUAUAGUUAUAAACCUUAGGAGUGAGUGUCCUUAGAUUAUAACUUACGAGAACUUAGAAGUUAGUAUGGAGAUAAAACUCAUGUAGGUUUUUCCUUAAGAGACUUAGUGUGUUAUGAAAUGUAACUUCAUUCUAUACAAUGAACUUAUGUUUAUUUAACAUUCUAAUAGAGUUGUUGUUUGUGUUGUCUUAUGUUGGUGAUUGUAGGAUGACUGACAUGGGAGGACCUAGCCGAGUAGUAGAGGAGGAGCCGCGUGAUAUCCACGUAGUCUAUGAGGCACCCUUGAUAGCAGAACCUAUAUCAGUAGUGGUCCAUGACGAUGACGAUGACGAUGACGAUGAGGUGGAGUCUGAUCCGGAGGAGGAGCCCGAGCCUUUGAAAGACUUCGACGAGGCUACUUUUGAGGAUCGAAUGUUAGGGGAGUAUGAGGAGCAGAUUUUGGAAUUAGGAUGUAGAGUAGAGGACCUUGAGGCUGAGGCUGAGGCUGAGGCUGAGGCUAAGGAAAGGGAUUCUGUGUUCCAGAAGUUGAGGAACGAGGACCAUCAGAGAAAAUUGGCGAUGCAAGAGAUGGAGGUCGAAAUUGCUCACCGUAAGGAGGCAGAGAUCCAGAUGGGGACCUUAUUUCACCGAUCGGUGGCAAGAAAUGUUGAGUUGUUAGGGAAGCUAGAAGAAAUGGAUCAAAGGGUUUUGAGUGAGAGAACGGAGAAGGAGACUCUCCGAACUCAUUUAGAGAUGGAGGUGAUGGAUAGAAUUCACUUCGAGGAGAAGUGGGAGGAAGCUAAUGAUAGGGUAGGUGAUCUAGAAGACGAGGUACGGUGCAAGAGGAGGAAGAUGAACAAGAUGGGCUAUGCUCUACACACGGCCAUUGAGAGAUUGAUCGAUGGGGUAAAUCAUUACCCAGCUGAGCAAGGACAGAUCCGGUAUACCAUAAGUUGAGAUAUGGUGGUGCACAUCACCCAGAAGGAAUAUCAGAGCACCGUGGAGCGUGGGAUGUUAGAUUAAGUCUAAAGGAUAAGCUCAGUAGUGUAGUAUUUUAUUUAUGUGUUGUUAAUAUGUUGUUAUAAAUCUCAAUCUUUUGUGUAAGAGGCGAGAUGAUGGUAACCCCAACUUUUGAAAAGUGUUAGAGGGGUAGUAAGCUAGUGUUGUCCCCGUCUUUUGUGAUACUAGGGGAUAUGUGAUAUCAUUUAUAGAAGUAUGCUAGAAAAGAACAUGUAUUGUAACCAUUUGGCAUAUGAAUAUAAAUGGUCUUAUUUCAGAAACGUGUUUUAAACCUCCAGUUCUUUUCUAUUGAGAAAUGUCUAUAUAUGAUAAUUAGAUAAUAAAAUGAAAAUUUUUGUGAUGAAGAAAAUGCCGCCCAGACGUAGAAUAACUGUCCUAGAAGAGUCAGUUAAUGAUGAGAGUGGUCCAGUAGAUCCGAUACAGAGACUGGUAGAUUUAUUGGGAGAAGCUCUGAGGGGAAGAAACGAACCCGUACCACCCAUUCCCCAAGUUGUCCCAGUAACAACCUUCAAAGAUUUUAAGAGUGUAGAACCCCCGGAGUUCAUGGGAACCACUGACCCGAUAGUUGCGCAAACCUGGAUCAAGGAGAUUGAGAAGGCCUUCACUAUAGCUCGCGCGGGUGAAGACCAGAAGACAGUAUUUGCCACAUAUAUGAUGAGGGGCGAAGCGAACUAUUGGUGGGAAGCUAAUUAGCAGAGAGCGGGAGAAGGAACGAUAACAUGGGAGAGGUUUACGACUCUGUUCUUCGAGAACUAUUUCCCAAAGAGUAUGAAGAGUAGGAUGGAAGUCAAGUUCCUAGAGUUAAAAUAAAGAGAUAUGACGGUGGCGCAAUACGCAGCUAAGUUCAAUGAACUAGCGCGAUUUGUGGAGCACCAAGUUGUGGAUGAGGAAAGAAAGGUGAGACGCUUCGAGCAAGGGUUGAAGCCGUGGUUGUAUAAUAAGGUAUCAGUCUUCCAGAUUGAUUCCUUUACAACAUUGUUAGAGAAGACAAUCAUUGCGGAAGGUGGCUGUGAGGCCUUAAGUCUAUAUCAUAAAGAGAAGAAGAAUAAGAACACUGGCAGUGAGCAUCGUGGAGGAAGCAGCAGCGGAGGGAGUAACUUCAGAAAGAGGUAAUGGGAAAACAAUAACAACAGAAGCAAUAAUCAAGGUGGGAGUCACCAGGGAAACUUCAAGAAAAGGGCUGAAGCUUGUAAAAAAUAUGGAAGAAGUCAUCAGGGAGAAUGUUGGAAAGGAAAACACACGUGUUAUAAUUGCGACCAAGAGGGACACAUAUCACCAAAUUGUCCAUAGCCGAAGAAGAUCAGAGGAUGUUUUGCUUGUGGAUCAACAGAGCACCAGAUAAAGGAUUGCUUGAAGAAAGAAGUGGUGGAACUGGCGGAGGCCAGGGAGGAGGAAGUAAGUUAAUGAUUGGUGGACCUACACAACCCAACUGAUCGACCGCCCGAAUAGAUGGAGGUACUAUAUUGUAAUUAAUUUUUCACAUGUUUAGAACUAUUGAGUCACAUGAUUUACUAUUAAGUCACAUGGUUUUACUAUUGAUUCACAUAAUUUACUAUUAGGGGAGUUGGUGCAAGUUUGAUAAUACUUGGAUGACUGAAUUAAAAAUGAAAGAAAAGUUGGAGGUAUUGUACUGUAAUAUUUCGAGCCCCAAAACAUGCAAUUAUCGAAACUUAUUUCCUAUAAAUAGAAGCUCAUUCUUCCUUCAUUUCUCACCAAUUCACUAAAGCUUUAGGGCCAUUAUUAUAGAGAGAAAUUAUAGAGAGAAAGAAGAAGAGAAGUCUGCUACAUUUCUAUUCUAGUAUCCAGCUUCAUUCUAAGGUAAGGGGUAUUAUUCUUUCGUAUUCAUGAAGAGAAUUACUUUCUUUCAAUACUCGUAAGAGUUGUUAUUCCAUUCUUCAUUAUUAUGUUGGAAUAACCUGUUUAUGCGAAGUACCUCAUACAUGGUGAAAUUCUUCUAUCAUUCCAUUCUUUAUUAUUCUGUCAGAAUAUCCUGUCUGUGUAUUUUACGCCGGACCUGGUUCCAUUAUUUAUUAUUCUGUCGGAAUAUCCUGUCUGUGCGUUUACGCCGGACCUGGUUCCAUUAUUUAUUAUUCUGUCGGAAUAUCCUGUCUGUGCGUUUACGCCGGACCUGGUUCCAUUAUUUAUUAUUCUGUUGGGAAUAACCUGUCUGUGCAGUCUAUCGCACGCAUGGUGAAUCCUUCUGUUAUUCCAUUCUUUAUUAUUCUGUUGGAAUAACCUGUCUAUGUGGAUUACCACAUGCAUGGUGAAUGAUCCUUUGUAUUCAUUCCUUAUUAAAUUGUGGAAAUGAUCUGUAUACGUGGAUUACCGCAUGGCGGGUGAAAAUCCAUUUAUAGUUUCAUAUAUUCUUUAUUAUACUCAGUUGGUUAAAGUUUUAACUUCUAUACUCCAUGAAAUUAGUGGAAUAUCCUUGAUAUUUGCGCUUCUUCCAGUAUCUUUUCAUGAAAAUAUUAUUCUGAGCAUUUCUUAAAUUUUACUCUACAAAGAAGUAUCAUGUUGACAAUUUGGACGUUAUUAGUUCUUGGAUAAAUUAAUUAUUGAACUUGUUUUAUUAAAUUAUUAUGUCGUUGUCAUCAUCCUCAUGCUUAUAUUGUAAUGAAAGUCAUCUUUGGCUUACGUGCAUAGAUGGACUUAGUAUGAUUAUAACCAGGGAUCAUUCGGUAUAAUCAUGACCUGUAAUGUUAUAAAUGAUAUGGUAAAAGUCCUCAGUAGCCUGUAAUGCAUUGAUGUACAGUUUUUGGUAUGAUUAUGACCAGGAAUUAUUCGGUAUAGUCAUGACCAUUGAUGAUUUAAUGAAUAUCCUUGGCUCGUAGUACAAGGAUGAUUAGAAGAUAUGGUUUAUUUAUUAAGCUGAGUCUCAGCGAUAAAAGUUGAUGAAAACAUUUUUAAAUCAUAGAAGAUAGUAUGUUUUAUUCUCUACUUGACUCUUCUAAUGGAUUGCUUAUUCCGCUGCAGUCAAACUUGAUGUCUAUUGUAUUUUAUCAGUUUAACAUUGUUNNNNNNNNNNNNNNNNNNNNNNNNNNNNNNNNNNNNNNNNNNNNNNNNNNNNNNNNNNNNNNNNNNNNNNNNNNNNNNNNNNNNNNNNNNNNNNNNNNNNUUGAUAAUUUAUUCUGCAUUAUCUUAGUCAUAAUAUUUCUUACUGGGCUAGUUGAGCUCACCCUUUCUUUCACUGUUCUCUUCAGGAAAUGAGAAUAUAGCUGAGACGAGCCGGGGAAAUGAGUGAUAGUCCAGAAGAUAGCAUUAGUAGUCCUCACUAUUCUGUUAAAUAGUGUGACAAUAAAUGUAAUGAGGACUCCUUUGAGUGUGGAUAUUGUCUAGAUGACAAUAUUCCUAUUAAAACUCUGAGUUUAUGUAUUUUCGUAUAUUACACGACGGUUGUAUAAUUAAGUUUGUAUUUGUAUUUUGUACCAUGUAUUUGGCGACUCAAAAUGGGUGAUGUAUACCUAUUUUAAGGGUGUCACAACAUACAAUAGUCUAAGAUUCUGGCCUUGGUUCAUUCCACAUUGCAUAGUACCGGCUCAAAUAAUGAGCUGCUCCUUGAGUAUCCUGGAUGUUCGUCUUAUGUAUUCCUUGAACAACAUAAGCAUUGGAGGAAGACAGAUAAGUGGUCGUAUAACAAGUAAUUUGAAAAGAAAAAGAAAAUAAGCAAUUCACAACAAUGUCUUCAAACUAUAAGUUGCAGCCAAAAAGUAGAAUCAGCUGCAAGAGGAAAAGUAAAUUGAAAAUAUAAGGCAGAGUGAUGGCAAUCAAGAGAUAUAUUCGUGAAGUUGUAGGAUAGGAAAGUCAAAACCUGAAUUCUAAAAAUUAUGUUCAGUGAGAAGGGCUGGGAGAGACUUUCGAACAAAGUCCAAAUCGCCAGUUCUAAUAAAUAUAUCUAUAAUCAUUGCACUCAGGAGUGGAGGUUGGCUGCAGAAGAGUCCACCAAAGUAUAACUUUCUUUUAUCAGAUAUAAAUGAAUGGAAGACAAAGAAGCAGGUUGCAAUUGUUGUUUGCAAUUUUUUAAUUACUGAGAAUUUUAAACUAGUUAAUAUCAAUCCAUCAUUUGUAAGAUAAGCGAAAGUGAAUGCAAUAAACCUUAUGCAUUGGAGGUUAAGCGUACCCAGGAGUUUUAAUAUGUUCCCAGAAGUCUAAUGUUUCAUAUGUAUAUAUAUAACAAAUUUUUUUCUGCGUGAAGAAUGCUAAAGAAGAGGGGACAAAGGGAGAUUGUACACUACGAACACACACACACACAAACUUAUGCUUUGGAGAAAAUGAUAAUGAAACCUCAAGCCCCCUCCCCAAAAAAAAAAACCCAAAAAAACAAAAAAACAAAAAAAGAAGACUUAUAAAUGGAUAUCCUCCAUAAUCCACAAGUCCAAACUACAUUACAGGUGAAAAAUAUCAGCAGAGUAAUUGUACUACUAGUAAACGAACUAACAUACAUGAAUCAAAAGACUAAUAUGGUAAAACACAAAAAAUAAAAAUUACUAUCAAAAGAACAAUUCCAAAGACGCUUAAUUUUUAAUUAUUUUUUUUCCAUUAAUUUGAGAAAAAACCCAAAUUCUAUUUUUUAAAAAAUACUAAGAAAGUGAAAGAAAACAAACCCUUUUCUGAUAACUUGAAGAAAUGUCCAAAGAAGCCAAAAUUCACAUAAGACUUCACCUUUUAAGGACAAUCAAUCAUUUAACACCACAUAUUGUGUAUAUAAUUAAAGAAAAUGAAAAGGAUAUGAAGAAAUUGAGCACUAACAUGGGAGUUUCUUCAAAAAGGGAGCUCCGAUUUCUUUGAGAAUCCUACCCAAAGCGAGACGGAUUUAAAUCCGAUGAAGGGGAUAUUCAAAACCACUAUGCAAAUCUAACCCAUAGCCAGACAAGGAGAGAGCUAGGUUAGGGAUACUGAGGAAGAUGAGUUUGGGGAGAAGAGAGAGCGUUCUAUUUUGCUGAGAGAGUUCUUUUGGGUCGGCAUAAAAGUCUCUCUAGUUUCAUUUAUCAAAAC